rnacentral:lncRNA from 1 species
UACACUACCUAUUACCGAUUACCGAAUACAGGAUAAAAGAACAGGAGGAAUAGAAGAAGAAAGAAGAAGAUCGAAGAAACAGCAUAAUCUCCUUCACUCCAAACUCAAACAUAAGCACAAGUUGUUAUAGUUCCCUGUUCUGUUUGGUGAUUCGUGGCAGCCAUGGAUGUCUCUUUUUCAUUAUCUACAACCUCCGCCACCUAUCUGCGUCCAUCCACAGGUCAAUCUCUAACACCUUUUGUCUCCUUUUUGCGAUCACGAAAAAAUUUGAAAAAAAAAAAAACAGAUUCUUGUAUUAAACACAAAAAAAAUUGUACUAUUCCAAAACUUAUUCGUGGUUAAUUGUAGCACAGGAAAAGCUCGAUUUGUUUUAAUUUUAAAAUAUCGAACGUGCAAAUCCUCUCUGAUGCUGUCGAUAUGUUUUAAGCACAGGCCUGUGUUCGAUUUCUAUCUGUUUUAUGUUGUCUACGGAUUAAAAAUGUUGUGAUUUUCCAGAGGCAUUCUAUAAAGGUUGCCUUUAAAUUGCUAUUUUCUUCUGUCUUUUUGAACAAAUUUUUUUUCUGUCUUUGUUGACGCGACCUUGUUGCCUGGUUCACAAAGUAAACUCUAUAAAGGUUGCCUUUAAAUUGCUAUUUUCUUCUGUCUUUUUGAACAAAUUUUUUUUCUGAAAAAUUAAAAAAAGAAGCUUAUGAUUUUAUAAUGUUGAUUUGUAUUUCGUGAUGUGUGGCAUCAGGUCUUAUGUAGUCAAAAGAGAGAGAUUCCUGUUGUUGAGGCCGGGUAUGACUAGUACACAUUAGAUCAAUCAUUCUCAUGGUUGAAUUUGAAGUGAACAAACAAUUUUUUUCUUUUUAGCCUUGCUUCUGCUGUGUUGACGAGUGGUAUUUUAUUUUUAUUUUUGCUUCUGUUUCAUUUAUAGUUCCAUGGAUGAGAUAUAUGAUGCUUUAGCUAUACGGCUUCUUCCUACAGCACCAGCAGCGUCGAAUCCUAAUUUCAAGUAAGUUCUAGCCUCUUCAAUGUAGGAAUGCUGUUUACUUUUGAUAUAUUUGAACCUGAUUGUACAAGAUAGUUAAGAAUAUCAGUGGACUUUUUUUUUGGGGGGGGGGGGGUGGAUUUAUGUGAAGAGCAUCAUUCUUUCCAGUCAUAUUUUUGGUCAUUCUGUAUGCUAAUUGCUAUUCUGGUUGAUUUUGUGACUAAAAUGUAUGCAGGUAUAUUGUGGCGUUGGCUGGUCCACCUGGUGCUGGAAAGAGCACUUUGGCUUCUGAAAUAGUGCAUCGUGUAAAUAGGUUAUGGCCACAAAAAGCUUCUUCAUUUGAUUUGCAAGUCAAGCCUCCAGAUGUUGCUGCAGUUCUUCCCAUGGAUGGGUUUCAUCUAUAUCGUUCCCAGCUUGAUGCAAUGGAGGUUAAGCUUGCUUCAUGGUUGUUUACUUUAGUUAUUGAAACUUUUUCAGAUGUAUUUCAGGGUACGCUAAUAUUGUUGCAUUUUAGAAUCCAGAGGAAGCCCAUGCCAGAAGAGGAGGUAAGCUUGACUUUGUUUUGUUUUUUCUACGUUCAAGCCCAGUGUUCAAGUAUUGAUUCUUGUGUUGAUGAAUCAGCUCCAUGGACAUUUUCCCCAACCCUACUGCUUAGAUGUCUGGAGAAGUUGAGGAACGAGGUGAGUGGCCAUUGUUGCUGUAAACUUGAAAUUUAACAUCUUUGGAAAUGGUUAGUAGAGGAUACCAUAUCUAGAAAUGUUAUGUGUUUCUGAUUAAUGAUAAACUUUUCAGGGGUCAGUUUAUGCACCAUCUUUUGAUCAUGGUGUUGGAGAUCCAGUAGAAGAUGAUAUCUUUGUGAGUCUUCAGUAAGUAAUCAUAUACUUUAACAUGCAGAAUCCUUUCAAAGGAAGCUGAUUUGUUUGAAUGGAAGGUUAAACACGUAGCCUAUGCUUCAUCUAUGAAUCCUAUUUUCACACUCGUUGCAGGCAUAAAGUGGUCAUAGUUGAAGGAAAUUAUCUAUUGUUGGAAGAUGGGGCUUGGAAGGAUGUGUCUUCAAUGUUUGAUGAGAAAUGGUAAAGUAUUAUGUUCUGACAAGGCUAUUUUUCUUCCUCUAUCUUGUCGUGGAGCAGAUAUAUGAUGCUGAGAAUUCACCAGUUUUUUUCAUUAGUGUUAUUUUGCCUAGUUUCUAUACAUCUGACAGGGCUGGACAUGUAGCAACAAUGUUGAGGGCUGUAUCAUGCUUAAGGACAACUUUACACUCACUCUUUAAGUUUUGCUUCCAAGAGCUUUUAUCAUGUUUAAAUUGGUGCUAUAAAAUCUGUUUUAUGAAUGUGCUCACUUGGAAUGAGAUGGAGAAUGUUCCAGACUUCACUUAGAACCUUGAAUCUUUACGUGGGAUUAUCCUCUCAUGAAGUUGGUCAUGUUGGAAUAUGGAGUUAAAAAAUGUACAAGAAAAUGAAGAUCAAUCCUCGAAGUCAGAUACAUCACAGUAUAUACUGUUUAUGUUUUUCUUUUACCCGGGGCGCCUUUUGAACUGUCAAUCCUCUAGAUACUUUUAUCUCGAGAAAAAAAUUCUUUCAGCUCAAUUCUGUCAUGGAAAUCUCCAAACAGAUUCAAAUGGAUUUAGGACCAUUGGGCUGCGAUGUAGUCUUGAGAUCACUAUUUGUUGUAACCCUGUUGUCCAAUCUGGUUAAAAUCAUUUAAAGUUUGUACCGCUGUUGCAAUUAGUAAUUUUGCUGUUUCUUCUCCUUUGCUAUUUUAUGAAACCAUACGUGAGCAAUUGGCACUUAAUUCUACAGGUCAUACUCUUUACAAAAUGUCCAACUAGUUAACCUGUCUCCCCUUUUCAACUCCCCUUUUUUAACACUGUAUUUUCUUUAAGGAUAGAAUUGUAUAGGCUUAUGAGCAGAUGAUAUCUUCAGCUUAAAUGUUUGAGGUUGGGUGAACUGUUUGCACCAUCUUGAACCCGUGCCCCACCUUCUUAGAAAGCCUUUUCAAUCUUUCUUCUGUAUUGGGAACUUGAGUUUAAAACUUUCUGUGGUAACAGCCUGAGUAAUUUGUACUGUGUUUUGUUUUUUUUUGAAGGUUUAUUGAUGUGGACAUUGAUACAGCAAUGCAGCGAGUUUUAAAGAGACAUAUUUCAACAGGUAUAGGCUCAUCUCUUCUGUUUCUACUAGUAACUGCUUCUACAAUUCUGCCAGGGAAAGGAAAGGAAUCUUACGAUUUAAUGUUAUGUCAUCUAACAGGGAAGCCUCCAGAUGUUGCUAAGUGGCGGGUAAGCUUUACUUUGUUGUCAGCUUCAAACUUCUCUUGCUUCUUUUUUUGUGGUUGCUGUUUUCACUACAGUAGUCCUACUUUAGUGUAAAUUCAAUGAAGAAUUACAUUCAUCUGCAGAUAGAGUAUAACGACCAGCCUAAUGCAGAGCUCAUUAUCAAGUCGAAGAAAAAUGCAGAUUUAGUAAUCAGGUCUAUCGAUUUCUGAAAUUGUUUGACGCGAUGACCUAAUGGAGAAAGAGAGAUGAGAUCAGAUGAAUUUAUCUGUUUUCCAUCAACUUGAUGGAAACUGAAAGAGUGAAUGAAUAAAGUAUAUGGCACUUUUUUCUAUUCCUUGCUUUUAAUUUUUUCACGUAUGUAUUAUAUUUGCUAGUUCAAGAACCGGACUGACCAAGUUAUUCAGAUGCAGUUUCUAUAGAAGCAAGUCAAUGCCUGGUUUCUCUUAUAGUUUGUUCAGCCAUCCUACACUGGAAAUUAUAUUCUGGUUAAUUAAUCUGUUAACGCCAAGAUAACAGAUUAAUUAAACAUAUUUCCUUACUUAAACAGUGUCAUUGUUAAAUUAGAAGAAAUCUUUUUAUUUGGAUGCGAGAGUAAGUAGAAUGCUUCCUAUUUUGAUAAACUGUUCACCGUUAUCAACCUCAUGUACAUAUGCACUUGCACUGUUUGUUUUCAUCACUCAAAGGAGUUCUUUUCAAAGUUUUUUUUACUUAAAAAUAUAUUAAAUUAAUAUUUUUGGCGAAUCCAUACACACACUAAAAAGCAGGGACGGUAUGCGAGCUAAACAAGAGGAGCGAUUAAGAAGCAAGACAACACAUAAAUUGCACAGAUAAAUUAUGAAAGUUUUGGUACAAGGUAGAAAAAAGCCAAACGUUUUGCAUUAUUUUUACAUUCCUUGUCAAUAAUGAAACGAGUUCGGCUUCAGAGGGACAAUCCUGAUUCCUCAUCCUCCUCGAGGGUGGCUGUGUAGGUAAAGUAGAGAGCCCAGAUGAGAGCAAAAACACCCAACAGGAUCCAAACAAGAAGGUUGUUACUCAAACCAAAGGGCAGUCCUGUUCCUUCAGUGGACAUUCUCUCAUCCACCAGAGCCAAGGCGGGGCUUGACAUGGAUGCAGCGCACACAGCUGCCAUCAAAGAUGCACUCAUUCCCUUGCAUUUUUCCUCCACGCUGGGCUUUCCCUCCAUGGAACAGCUCACUCUUCCCUUCUUUGCCAUUGCUGGCAAGCCUGGAACCAUAAAUUAAAUAAAACAAAAAAGAAUGUUGAAUGCCCAGUCAAAUGAUGAUAAUCAACUCUGAUCCGAGUUGAUUCCUAUCAAAUAGGUCUGGUGAUUGCAUCAUUUUUUACCGACAAAAUCAUAAACCGUAUUGAACAAAAUAAGAUACAAACGACAAUAGUUUCACCCCACGACUCAGAAGCAUAAAAUUCAAGAGAGGGGGGAAAUGGUCUUACCAAGAACAGGUGAGCAUGAGACUCCUAGUGAUGGCUUGUGUACAAGAGCUGCACGGACGAGUGAUGAUGUAGUGGUGGUGCUAGCAGUGAUGGUGGCCAUCUUUCUUCAAUUUGGAAGAAGCUUGAGUCAGGACUGAGCACUGCUACAAAGGAUACCAAAGCAGUCGUAGCAAAGUGUGCCACAAGAAUUUACAAAUUAAUAUUAUGUAUCCAAACCAUGAGUGUCCAACGCACCACAUAACAUGGAUAGAUAGGCAGCCCCUCCUUUGAUAUCCGCUAUCCUCAGGAGUCCAACCAGCUUCUUCCACGUGUGACAUGAUCCAUUUACGAGGCCAAGCAAAUUACCAUGGGCAGUGACCACAUGAACCGAGCCAGAUUUUUCCCUAGUUAACGUCGUCGAGCCGGCUUCAAGUCCCAUUAUUCCAUUCGUUUUAGCCGGUAAAAAUUGUGGGGCUUUCUAUAAGGGGUAAUUAAUAAUAUUUUAUCACUUAAGUUUUUAUUUUUUUAAAUAUAGAUAAAAAUAGAAAAGAAAAAUACUGUUCAAGGAAUAAUUAAAAUAUACUAUUAGUUAUUUUUUGAAUCUAUUUUUUUUUAAAUAGAUAGAAAAAUCAUAAAUAAAAAUAUUCUUAUUAUUAUGUGUUUUAUUUUUUCUUAUUUUUAUAUUUUUUUUUUCAAAAUAAAUCUAGAAAUAAUUAAUAAAAUAUUACUAAUUAGUACUCUAUGAUCACUCUCCUUAAAGGAUUGUGGUUGAACUUGAGAAAAAUGAGGUUUUUUUAAAAAAAAUCCUGGUGUGAAGUAGGCAAGAAUAUUUUAUUUUAUUCAACCAUUAGUUAAGAAAGUAAAAUUGUAUCUGUAAAAAAAAACCUUCAAUUCUAAUUACGCAAACAUAUUUAUCGAAUCCAUAGGUUAGAGCCCUUUUCUUCAUCUAAAUGGGAAAUUACACACAAGCAAACUCACUUGAAACCACGACUCAUCUGGAUAAAGUUGAAAGUCGACCACAUGAAGAGCUAUCCGUCAGGAAACCAUGGAGCAUCCACAGAAUAACGGCACAGAAACCCCCACGAAUAUACCAAAGAAAAUUGCCAUAUUCCUUUCAGUUCUGGUGUUUGCAUCUAAAGAGAAUUAUCUGAGUUAUGUACACAACAUCUUGAAGCAUUCGAACAUGCCCCCGGGGACUUAUUUGAUUUCAGCUUUUAUCGCUUAGGCUCAGCUCCUAGAAGAUUACUGCCGCAUUCAAGACAAAAUGUGUUGGAACUUUACAAAAGAAAUUUGUGAAAGAAUCAAGUGAACAUGUAUGUCAAGUCCCUAGAACAAGAAGCAACCAAUGAUGCGUGAGGUAAUAGUAUAAUCUGAUUUCAGUUACUCGUGGAUAUUGCACUGUUGUAAGUAGGGAUGGUCGUAGUUGAUAUGUUUGCUCCAGUAACUCUUGUACUUUCCAAUACCAAUAUCCAGCCAUGGUUUCAUGACUCCAUCAUAGUGUAAUACCGCUGCCUGCUCAACACCGUCGUGUCCAACACCCGCCUCAUGGCCAAGUCCGAGUUUAUGCCAUCUCCUGUCCAGAAUAACCGUCCGGUUGUAGAAAGUGGCCCAACCUAAAGGCAAACUACCCGCUUUCCACAAUUGCCUUGUGUGGCCCUGCGAAACAUAAUGGGGCAAAACAAGCAUUAAAAUAUGCAGGACAAUUAUAGAUAUGUGCAGGAUAAUUAUAGAUUCAUCCAGGCAUAUCACCAAGAGUGUGUCUGCCUGCAUGUUUGCAUGAUGCCUGCACAUAUGCUGCUAAUGUAUGAAUUCAUUGAACAUCUGGUAUUCAAUUCAUUAAGCCACUUUCCAUGCCCAUGAAAAUGAAUAAAUACUUGUUGAAACUGUGUUGACUCGUGAGCCAGAAACUAGAAGUGAAAACCAUGCUUGCGGGUACCAAAAAGCCCUCUCACCCGCCUUACCACAAAGUCUGGCCUCCAAUAGAAGUGCAUGCUAGAUUCUGCAUUCCAUACUGAUGCUUUUUUUUCUUAUGAAAGGGGAAAUCACAUAGGUCAGGCCCUUCAGGCUCACCCCAAGCUAAUGAACUGCUCCUAACCCAUGGACUGGGUGAAUCCAUGGUAUAAUCUCAACAUGGCAAGACUGGGAGUCGAACCCUUGGCAAUCCAUGGGACUAAUACAUGCAGAUGCUCGUUAAUGCUCUACAUGUGAUCUCAAGACCAAGUUAAUCAAAACAUAGAAAAAUUGAGGGGUGUAAAUAUCUUUUGAAGUAGAACAACACUAAAUCAGCACACGUGGUUUUCAGAUCAACAGAGAUAUCAUAAAUCCAGAAAGCAUAUAUCAGCAUGCAAGCAAAAGCAAAUAUGAAUGGGAGAAAUUUCUUUACCAGUUGCAAGUAUUUAUUGUAGAGAGCAGUUAAUUUAUGCCUCCUCCACUCUUGCAGAUCAAACAAAUUCAUUCCAAAUGCCCAUGUGCAUGCCUUGGCAUCAAACCUCUUAAUCACAAAUGGAUCUGAGAAAUUGAUGAACUUAUCCAUCCGGCGAAAUGAAGGUUCACCUUCACGGCACGUGUCCACUGCUCCAAUGACUUUUCCUUUCAUAUUAAGACUCCAAAGGCCAGCUAGAUCCUUUUGCACUACCACAUCAUGGUCAAACAGAACAAUCUUAUUCAGCUGGGGGAAGACAUCUGGUAGAUAGAAACGAAGAUGGUUCAGUGCAGAAGUAUAUCUUGAAUCACGGGAAUUUAGUUGCUUCAAUGUUGAAUUGUAAUUAGCGGACAACCCUUUGAAAUCGACUAAGCUCUGGAUCUGAAUUGUAGCUUUGCCAGGAGGAUUCAAUAAGAACCACAUUGAGAUUGUUGGGAGAUUGAGAGAAUCAGUCACUAUGUGAAAAACAAUUUUCUCUGGCUCCUGUCAGUAGUUAAAGCAAUAAAAGUCAUCAGCAUUGUUGCUCAUGUCAAGUAGAAGUAAGCCAUGGCACAAUACUCAAUUUGAAAAACUUUUUUCCACAAGUAUCUAACCCAGCCAACAGGGAAUGACAUCAGUACCAGAGUCCUACUACCCUAUUUAAUGAUUUGUAAUGGUAUAAGGCCAAGAAUAAGACUGGUAUAUUUCAAAAAAUAUCAGAAACGCUACAACUAGACAGCCACAUGACUCAAGAAAAAUAGCACGAUUUUUUUCUUUUCUUAAUGGCACUAUGCUCACACAGCCAAAAUCUUGCUUAUUGAAUUUGCUAGAGUUUUUGACUUACAAAAAGUGUUGUUUCGACUCAGACAGAAGGUAUAAUAUAAUGGAAAAUACGAUACACAUGUUUGCAGACACUUUUUUUUUACUGUUGGAAAGAGAACAGGUUCAGUCUGCACACAGGAGCCACUGACGGAGGCCUGUUCCCUUGCUGGAGAUGGCCCCGUAAAUUUAUUCCAAUUAUGCUUUUCUGUGUGAGCUAUGCAAGUUAUAAUAACCUCACCAGAAGCCUGAAGCGAACUCUGUACACAGAGGCUAAAAAACAAUAAUAACAGGGAAAAAGCAGUUUACCAUGGCAGAGGAGACAGUGGAAUUGACAACCACAGCACAGGCUAGAACAUUAUCAGAGAAAACAGCAUAGUGAUAAAGAUCUGCAUCAUGCACCCUUUGUUGGUUAGGUAGCUGUCUUUCCUCAGGUGACAAGGCAAAAUAUUCAGCUGUCAACCGCAUAGAAAGGCAGUGUAAGCCUUUUGGCGUAGUCCUUCCAGAAAGCUGAACAAGAUAUGUUGCUUGAUUCUUCUGUGCUCGAACCUGUUCUUCAGCAUUGUAAGUCAUGGCACGGAGCUUCAAAGCCAUGGCCGAGCAGUCCGGGAAAACACGACUGGCUUUUGAUAAGGUAACCUCCAAGGAUCUCUUUUUCUGUAGUGCACUGUAAAUGAAUGGAUGUUCAGAUUUUAAACCAAUUUUUCCUUCUCCCAAAUAAAAAAAAUCUGACAUCAUUUCAUAAUUCUACUACAUGCACAAGCAAUCAUCAUUGCAUAUUUAAAGAAUCAAUGUCAAAAGAAAACAUGUACUGGUGAUGAAGAUACCUCCUUGAUAAAUCUGAGUCCUUGUUGGCUGCACUAACAGCUCGUUCAGAUUCUUUGAUUCGCAAUCUCAACUCUUUUACUAAGUGAGAGUUACUGCCUGGUGGUGUCAUACUCAAGUAUGCCUUUGCUCUAAUCAGAUCAUCUUUCAUCUGCUUUACCUUCUCAUCAGUAAAUAUCCGGACUGGAGAUCGCAUGUUCUGAUCAUGUCGAACUGUUGCUUGAUUGGACUGCCCCUGCAGCUAAAACCAGAAGAUGUAAUACGCAACAUGCAAUGGAUGGUAAGAACAGCAGCCCAUGCUUGUAUCUCAUAUAUGUUACAGAAAUCAGAAUCACAAGCAUGAAUAUUUUUCCUAAAAAAUUCUCAUAACCAGUGCCCUGACUUCCACUUCUGACUAACAAUGAUUUUGGUCUUGCAGGCCCAGAAUCAUUGUGAAGUAUAGAAUAUUGACAUGCACACUUACCUUUGCUUCUGACCUGGAUGUUACUGUUUCCUGUGGAAUCUGCCGAUUUUCUUCUCUACUUUCAUGAUUAGUUCCUGAAGAUGGUUACAGAUCAGGGACAUGUUUACAAUCAACAAUAGAAGGAAUAGCAGUAAGGCUAAAAGAACACUUCUGAGCAUUACUUUCCAAAGGAAUUGACGUGUUUCCACCUCUUUGAGAUCUCUUUGAACCUCGAUCUAUUUCUCCAAUAUUUCCAUAUUUCUUAGAAUCAUUAUUCUCUUCCGAAGUACUGUAACUAAUUCUAGAACCCAGUUCCUUCUCAUCAUACACCACUAGUUUCGGCCCUUUCAAACCUUCACCUUCUUCCUAAAUCACCAAACACCCAUGUUGACACACAUAAAUAGCUAAAAGAAAAACAAAAAACCAGAAGCAAGCAGUAAAUUUAAAAACAAAACCAUUAAAAAUAAAUAAACAUGAAACUACCUGCUCAAUGGCAUUAAGCUGUACAGAAUCUCUCCUGUAUCUCUGCACCACACAAAUAGAAUCAAUGUUAAAUCUCUAUUUACAAAACCCAAACUUAUCAGUAUAAUUUGACUUUCUAAUAUUUCAGGCGCCAUGCGAAAAUUUCACCAGUCAACAAAUAUUAUAACUAAUUGUACUAAUAUUCGCACUUAAACUUAGUUGUUUGAUUCAUUUGAAGUAAAUUUUCAUUGAUCCAUACCCUUUCCCUUCCACAAAUUUUCUUAGCAACCAAACAGAAUGAAAACUGAAAAUCUAGUUAAAACAGAAACUUCUUACCAAAGUUGAUAAAUCCGAAAUCAACUCUUUCCGCCCUGCCACAACAAAUCCACACGAAGAAUUAAUCAAACACAUCAAUAAUCAAUCAAAUCACAACAUCCAAACCACGAGUCUACUAAUGUAGAUUGUCAGUAAAAAUAUCAAUAGAUUCAAUCAAUCAUCAGUAACAUUUCUAUCCUCAGUGAAUUUUCCAUUUCCUUAUCAACAUAAUUUGAAUUUUUAACAACCACAAACAGAAAAGUGAAUAAAGAUUUUACCUACAGAAACGAAAAGUAUGGGAGCCAAGACAGUUAAACAGAGCAAAGAGAGUAAGAAAAUCCUCUGCCACCGACGAAAUUUCUUCAUUUUAUAUUUAAUUAAAAAAAUUAAAUCCUCACUAUUUUUAGGGUUUUAUUGAAUCGAAAUCAAUCAUUCUCCAAAAAGCACAUUUCAUAGACUCAUCAAAUCAGCACAAAUUCUAUUCUUCAAUAACGAGCAAUGAAAAAAGAAGAAAGAAGAGCAAAGCUAGGGUUUCAGGCUUUCUUUUUAUUGGUGCUGUGAUUUUCACGGGGAUAUAUAUAUAGAGAGAGGGGGGGGUAGUUUUAAAGAGCUUGAUGCUCCAUGCCUGCCUCUCUGUGAGGGUGAGGGUGAGGGUUUCUUUUUUAUUUUUAAAAUAUUUUUAACUAUAUUUUUUGGUCAAUUUUGGAAUUUGCCAGAUAGAGUACAUAUUUAUAUACUUUCGGGGGUUGUGCUUUGAGAUUCGAGACGCGAAAACGACGAUGAGUGACAGGUAAUGGUAGCCUAGGGUGGGGCAUAUGAAACUAAUGACGAGGAGUAAGAUCAUUCGUCGUUGAUCUCCAAGUGACAGUCUUUGGGUCCAAUCAGAUUCUUUUGGACCCCCGAGUUUUAAAUCGUGGAAACAUUUAAAAAAUAAAUAAAAGUAUCUGAUCUCAGCUUUCAGGUGUGAAUCUGGCUUAAAUUACCCGCACUAAGGGACACGGCAAUGAUUGCUCCGAUGCAGUUAAAAUCGAAGUGUGCUACGUGGCAAGCAAUGGACUGCCGAUCUUUUUGGGUGGGCUGAUAAUCUGUUAGUGUUGGGUUUUAGUCCAGGUUGCAAUGAUGUAGCAAACAAGUGCUGCAAUUGUGACAUUCUCCAUUGAUUUAGUGGCAAAGAUCGGUUUCUUUCUAUGGUAUUGGGAUCACAACACACGAUGACCUCUUGAUUAGCUUAAAUUAUUCAGUUAGGUCACCCUGAUUUAUAAUUUAUUUUAUAAGUUGUUUUAAAAUAAUAUUUUUUAUUUUUUAAAAUUUAUUUUUGAUAUUAAUAUAUCAAAAUAAUCUAAAAUUAUAAAAAAAUUAAUUUUAAACAAAAACAAUUUAAGUUUUUACAAACUUCCUCUUCGACCAUACUUUCAAAUAAGAGGUACAUGUCAAAUUCAUUCUCUAAUGACAUUUCAAGUUAGGUGAAAUAGGUGCAUAAAAUCGGUCUUCUUUUUCUUCUACCAAGAAACAUCUUUUCCUUUCCAUAAUUAUGAUGAUUAUUGGUUGUUACUUUGUUUAUUUUAGAAUUAAUAAUGUGCAAGUUUAGGAUAAUUUAUUUUAAAUUUCACUCAUCUUGUAACUAAAAACUAAAAAGAAUCUUAAAUUUAUGAUACAGAUCAAAAUCAUACAAGAAAGAUAAUAAUCAUAAAAACACAAAAUUUAAAAAAAUAUAUACAUCAGGUAGAAAUUUUAAUUUACAUUCUUAUUAUUAUAUAUAUCGAAAAGAUUUAUAAUUCCUUAAAUAAACUAAAUAAUCAACCUAAUAUACUAAAAAACCUGAAAUUAAUGGAAAAGUGAAAGAUAAAGAUGUUAUGUCGAUAUCAGUCUAGUGAAAAUCAUUAACCUCUGCUUGGUGAACAACAAUUCAAGUCAUACUUUAUGUAUUUUUCUUUUUAUUUUCCUUAAUUCUUUGAUACUUUCUAUAUAUUUUACUGAUUUUUUCUCCCUCCAAUCCACCAAUUCUUCUCCUUAUUAUAAGCUUUAAAUUCCCUCAAAUUAUACAAAUAACCUCCCUGUAUCACCCAAACACUCCUUUUAAUCCUUUAACCUAACUACUAAGCGUUUUCUGAGAUCUUUAAAGAAAUUUUUAAGAAAAUAGGAGGAUUUCCCUCUCAUUCUCUAAAUCAACCUGUCAGCUGUUUAGGAGCCAAGUGAGCUAUUUAUAUUAUUUCCAAGGUUGACACUGCAAUUUAAUUCGGGUGUUUUUCGUUCAAUUAAACAUCUCAUCUCUAUCCAUUUUAAUUAUUAACCAUAUUUAAAAGUUGAAUCCUUGAAAUUUCAACUUUAGUUAUUUCCCAUUACCUUAAUUAUUUAUUAAUAUUUAAUAUUUUUUUAAUCAGGGAUUUACAGUUUUACUCGCAAUGAAAGGUUGAUUAAGCUUAGUUUUUUUUUUAAUUAAGAAAAAAAAGGAAAAGGAUCCUUAAUUUUUCCCACGUGUUUUAUACAAUUCUCUUAAUCAUGAUUUUUUUUCUCUUUAUUCUUUAAAAAACUUAACUACAAAUUUCCUCUCAAUUUUUAUUGUUUUAUUUUAAAAUAUCAAUGUACUUUAUUUAAUGUUUUAUUAUAGAUUAAACGUGUAUUGUUCUUUUUUCUUGCGAUUAUACGUCUAAUAUUGCUUGAUACGUGACUUUGUUACCGAAAAUCAUUAUUUCCGUUUUUUUUUUUCAAAACAUUAUUGGCAGUAUAAAAAAACACUAAAUUUAUCAAAAAUAAUAAUAAUAGUAAGACAAAGAAUCAGAAGAAAAGAUUGCAUAAUAAAAUAAACUUGAUUUUUUUGGAUAUGCCACACAAAGUAAUAAAUCUCACACAAUAUGAAUACGGAGUUAAUUAUAACUUUAGUCCUCACUGUAUAAAAAAUAAUCAAGUAAUUCCUUAUUUGAUGUUGGCUAUCUUUAAUUUAGUUUUUUUUUUCAAUAAUAUCUUUUGCAUUUAUAUUUCCCAUUUAACCUAAUUCUCCUUUCCUCGCUCACUUUUUUCAAGAAAAAAAAUCAGAAAAUUGAAAUUGAUAAAAGUACUAAAAUAUAGUUUCUAAGCUUAUAAAGAUUAAUUAAUUAGUUUUAUUAAAUCACAAAGACUAAAAGUCAGAGAAAAACUUUAAUGGAUUUGUUGGGCUUCUCCAUGGCUGCUGAUGGAUUGGGUUGUUUUUGAUAAAAUAUUAAAAAUAUAUAUUUUUUUACAGUAUUGAAAUCUCACUAAUAUAUAUAAUUUAUAUUAAUAAAAAAAUUAUAUUUUUUCAAUGCAGAAUAAAAAAUAUUUUUUAUAUAAAUAUUACUAUUUAAAAAAAAGAUAAUAUUUUUCUAAUAAAAAAUUAAAAAAAUCUUUUAAAUUUCAUUAUUUAUAAUAUAUAUGAAUUAUUUAUUAACUUUCUAUUAUAAAAUAUUAAAAUUUUAAAUAUAUAUUUUUAAUUUUAAUUUUUCUAAGUAGCUGGAUGUAAUAACUAUGAUUUUGGACGUUUAAUAGCGCAUAAGAGAGUGUAGAAGUUUUUUCUGACGUAGAGAGUUGGGCAUCCCUUUUACAUGUGUCAUUGAGUGUAAAAGAUGAUGGAGUCUGACUUGGGUGGUGCUGCUAGUUUAGCUGGUAGAGAUGCUUGAGAGUUUAAUAAUAAUAAUUUUUUAAAAUGUUUUUUUAUUUAGAAAUUAAAAUAUAUUUUUUAUUUUUUUAAAUUAGUUUUGAUAUCAAUAUAUUAAAAUGAUAUGAAUAUAUAUAUAUAUAUAAAAAAAAAAUUUAAGAAAAAAAUUUGAAAUUUCAUGGAAGAUGUAACUAUCACUUCUAACUUUCUAUAUAAGUAAUCCAUAAGGAAAAGAAAUCUCGUGCUUUUUACUUGUAAAAAAACAACGUUUUCAAGGCCAGUAAACAGAGAUAGCGUGGGAAUUUUUAAUGAAUCGCGUGCCAAACCAGUCAUGGUGAAGGGAAAAGCUGCAGUAUAGCUGAAGGUAAAAAUCGACUAUGCACACUUCACCAUCUGGGCCAUACCCAAAUGGGUUGGGUUGCCAGCAGUUUGGAUAUGCGUAUUUUGGUUAGUGAUGAUCGCCCAAUUCCUCGACCCAGCAGAUAACAAUGGCCUCUCUAUCUCAUAUCCUCCAACAUUCAGCCUUGUUGAUGAAUCCAAGGGAAUAAAAACAGUUCUCAAUAGGAUAGGAUCUCCAGAGGUUCACAGAAUCCUUAAAACUUUGGAAACUGAUAAGCGAGUUAAGUUUUAGAUAUUUUUUUGUUUUUUUUAAUUUCUUUUUUGUUAUUCUUUUAAUGUUUUUUUGAGCCCACUACUUGCUUUGGUUCAUGAUAAUCACUGCAGUAUAGGUUAGCUUGUGUGAGAGUAGGAUUGUAAUUGUUUUUCAAAGUGUUUUUUACUCGAAAAUAUAUUAAAAUAAUAUUUUUUUAUUUUAAAAAAAUUAUUUUUAACAUCAGCACAUCAAAAUAAUUUAAAAAUAUCAAAAAAAUAUUAAUUUAAAACAAAAAAAAUAAAAAAAUUUAAAUUUUUUUAGAAACAUUUUUAAAAUACAAAAACAUACUAAACUAAUCAUUUGUGCUUUCAUGCCGAUUACAAACCCAGUAGACGACAGUGCAAUUCCCCAUGUUGAGAAACUUUAAUAAAGUGGCUUGUUUAUGCCACGAGACAGGAGGGUGAAGGGAAGGCCAGUACCGUGGCAAAAUGGUGUCGACACCAGCGUACAAAAGAGUAGAAGCAAUUUCUCAAUGUGUGAUAAACUGAAGCGUGUUUGUUGUUUAAACAUAUCGGUGUGAUUAACUGAAAACAGUAUCCUCUACUCUCUUAUAUUUCAAUGUAUUCACCUGUAAGAUUUUCUUUAAAUUUUCUUUUGUUACUAUUUGUUUAUUUGAGAUAAAUUUUAAGAUUUUUUUUUUAAAAAAUUAUUUUUCUUAUCAGAUUUAAUUAUUUUUCUUUUAAUUGUUAUUUUUUUUAUUUUAACAUAAUUUUUAGAUUAAUAUUUUUUUUUUGAUUUCAUACUUCAACAUUAAAUUGUUUAGAAAUUGAUCUUCUUGGUUGAACUCGGAUCUAGGAUUCCACGGAUUGGAUUACUAGUUUAAGAGAUUAGCUCAGAAUAAGCAGAUUCGCUUAGGAUUGCUUAUUUUUUUUUUAAAAGUAUAAUAAAAUGACCUGCUUACCUUUAAAAGCAAAAUUUCUUUAACUAGCACCCGAUAGUAUUUUUUUAAUUUUGAUAAUGGUUUUUCUGUUAUACUGGAUUUGAUUGAGAGGAAAUUUAGUAUUUUAAUAAAUAUAAAAUAUAAUUUAAAAACAAAAAAUAUCUAACGUAUCAAAAAAAAAAUGGCUAGUGGCUAAUUGUAAAAACCUUUAUCAUAAGAAAUAAACUAUAUUUUUAAAAAAUACAAGGACAAAAAACUUUCAAAUAAAGAUCAAUUUGCAAAUAAAAAUAAAAUAUAGAGACUCAAGUAUUUCAAAAAAAAAAAUCCAAAGACCAAAAUAAAAAUUUAUAUAUAAAAAAGCCUCUAUUACAUUACAAAGAAUAUUAGUGACCAACCCAUCAAAUCUUUCCAUUUCAUUGUUUUAUUUUACAUUACACAAUUGAUUACAUUACAUUUUUUUUAUUAAUAUGGGUGUUCCGGUCAGUUUAUAUUUACCUUGAUUAAUUUUACAGGCUCUGAAGUUAACGACCAUGUAAACUUUCAGUAACUAUAAUAUUUGUGGGACUCAAACUGGUAAGUUUUUAAAAAAUAAACUUAGAAUCUAAUAGUUGAAGUAUAUCUCUCAUAAUUGCAUAGUUUUGAAACCUGGACCGACCCGACGGGUCGACCCGAGACCCGGCCGACCCGGGCCUGGGACCGGUCCGGGUCUAAGUAAAAACCCGCCAGGGAGUUAGCCCGGCGAAACCUGGUCGACCCAGCGGGUCGACCCAGAACCCGGUUGACCCUGGUAAACCCGACUGAAACCCGGCUACCUUCUUUUUUUUUUAUCAAAACAAGUAUCCUCUACCUCGCCUGAAAACAAGAAGACAACCCUCCUUCAACAGCUAGAUAUCUUCAAUUUGUACUUCAAUAUCUCAACAAAAAUCUUGCAAAAGUUUUCAAAUAUUCUCCAAAAUCCUCUAGUAGAAACUUCUCAUAUAUGAUCAGAAGCUUCUCCCCACUGAACUAAUUUGGGAAAAUAAGAACUGAAGCCCUAGAUUACGGGCCAAACUGAUGAGAUCUAGUCACAGAUGAGAAAAAUAAUAGAUUUAUUUCAAUGCCAGAAGAAAGCAAAAUCCAACAAAAGAAAGAAGAAAACAGUAUCCCCUACCUCAUCUGAAAACACACCUCUAGAAUUUCAAAUUCCUUAACCAAGUUCUCCUCGCUCGUAACUUUAAACUAACAAGACAAAUUAAUUUUCUUCUUAUUAUUUAAACAAUCACUGCAGCACCCCUUUGAAUCUUCUUUUGUUUCUCUUUCUUGUUCUCUUCCCUUUAGAAGUCAGAUCCAUCCCACAACCCUUGCUCUCUUUCUCACAUAUCUCUUCCAAAACUCCUAAAUUCUCACUAAUUCUAGAGGAUCUUGUUUCAAAAUUAAAGUUUUUUUGAGUUUUUGGUGCUGGAUUUUGAGAGAUAGUGAAGAAUUUGAAGUGGGGGUUUGAUGGUUGUUGACAAGAAGAUAACUUUGAAGCAGAGAGUGACAAGGCAAUAGAUUUUACGGUCACUUAAAGUAUUAUAAUUGUUUUUUUUUAUUGACCCGGGUCAACCCAUCUGACCCGUGACCCGAUCAUUAAACCGGGUCGACCAUCGAGUUGGGUUUCAAAUCUAUGCAUAAUUGCAUUACAUUUAUAUAAUACGUGUCGUCACAAUUUGAAGACUAUGGUACCACUCCCGUAGCAGAGCAUUAAAUUCCUUCGUUUACACGUUCCAUCAUUUGUGAUAUGAUUGCUCAUGUAGAAAAGAAAGUUGCUCAAGGAGGUUGAACAACUUCGCUGCAAGGUAUCUGUUUAGGUGUGAAUAAUUAAGCACAUAUAUAACUGGCUAUGCCUAUUUUCUUUGAAAGUGAUCGGGUAGACCCUAAUACCCGAAAUUAACUUGUUGAAAUUUAUUUUUGCUAUUUAUCCAAAUUAUGAUUUAUUUAUUUUUCUUACAUAUAGUCGUCGUGGGAAAUGCAUUUCAGACAGCAACGCAUCGCAUCCAGACAGUUACUUGAAGUUAGCUGCUAUCUGUAUACAAUGCUGAUCAGAGCACAAGUUGUUGAGUUUUGCAGGAUUAUAAAUCAUAGUAUGCUAUACAAGUCCAUUUUCUAUCCCUGCAGGGCAUAGAUUUGCUGUUAGAAAUUAAGCAUUCAGUUCCCCAGAUAGGAUGAACUCGGAUGCCUUCUUGUUGACAAUGAUCAGAUGGCAGACCCUUCGUGUCAAGAAAGUUAGCUGGACCGUGAUCUUUGCCAGUUAGUGGCUCUGGCGCUCCCAAUCCAUGCCUGGCAUCUCUUUCAUCCCACGGGCUUGUUACGUAGACAGGUGGCGCGUAGAACAAAUUGACAGUGGUCUGCAGCACCAUACUCCAUAAUUCACAGCUCAACAUUUCUUCUUUUUAUAAGGUCUCUUGCAUAUAAAAUGCAGCAGAUAGGGCCUCGGGGAGUCCUAGACUCCUUGCGUAGAGAUGAAGAGAGUCUGCAGAUAUUAUAUAUUCUAAACAUAAUCGAUGGCUAAAAGUCAAAUGUAGCUUAAAUAGGCUGCUUUAAACAACAAAAAGCAAGAUUGAAAAGCAAUGAAUUACCAAUAAAUCUGGAAAUCAAAACCUAAACAGUAUCAAGGAAAGAGAUAAAUAGAAAAGUUAUAAUCCCCCAAGAACAGCAAUUUGGAUCGGUUCUGUAGGUCUGGUAAUUCGCAGAAGGGCUCGAAAAUGAGUUUUCGGGGUGGAUUUUGACCUUACAUCGUCAUUGAGAUGAAAAAUCACUACACAUUAAAAAGACCAUAGUACGUUUAUCAUUUCCAACUGUCUUCGAUGUUAAUCUUAUCCAUGAAUUCAUGAUGUAGUUGUACCAAAUCAAUCAUGCAACAGUAGCAGCAACAUCAGAGCUCUGUAACUACUUGUCUGUCUCUACAUAUUCCUUGGUAGCUGCAUUAUUUUAUUUUAUUUUAAAAAAAAUUAUAUAUAGACAGACAAAUUGAAGGAUAUAUUGAAAAAAAGGGGAAUUAGGUUUUGUUAAUGCGUGGAAAACAUUAGAUCAAGGGACCUCUUCUAAUUAGCCAUGGAAUUUAGGAAGAAAGUGGGAUUUAUAAUUCUGGCUGUACUGCCUUAAAUCCAGGACAUGCAAUUCAUUGCGGUGUAUGAUAGGCAGGUAGGGUUCAAUUUAUUAUGUGUCGUACCACAUUUGAUAUUAACAAGUUAGCAACAAAUAAUAUCGCAGACUACAGGUACCGAUUGAUUAGGGUUCCAUGAACUACGUUCUUGGACCUCUGUCACACUGACCCACUACUUGUAAACACGACACACAUGCUAGCCACCUAAACAAAUUGUAUUGAGUUGAUGAAACCUGGUCUUCACGUCGCCGGAGUCUGAUAUGGAAGGACUGAAAGUAAAUGGGUCGGAAGCCGGAAUUAUAACACGUGGCUGAUUUUCAUUGAAGAGAGUUAAUCACUGAAAAGUAGUUUUUAAAAAAUUAUAUUUAAAAUUUUUAAGUGUUUGUUAGAAAGUGGUUUUUUAAAAAUUGUAUUCAAAAUUUUUAUAUGUUUGUUUGUUAUUAAAAAAAAGUUAAUUAACAAAAAAUAUUUUUUAUUCAAAAAUGUAUUUUGUCAUGUUUCUAAUAAAGUUUUUUUAAUUUUCGGUGGAAAAUAUUUUUCAUAAAAAUUUUAAAAAUAUCUUUUUAUUUGUUGAUUAUAACAAAUUUAAUUUUUAAUUUUUUAAUUUUUAUAUAUUUUGUUUAUCUAUCAUAUUUGGUUUUUAUUUUUUUAUUAUAUUAUUUUAAUUAUUAUUUACUUUAUUUUUAGUAAUUUAUAAAAUUAGAUUUUUUUAAUUUUAUCAUUUUUUAAUCUUUCUAUCUCUUAGAUCUAAUACUCUUUUUUUUAAUAAACUUGAAGAAAAUAAAUUAAAAUAUUAAUAAAUUAUUUUUUAAUUUAUUUUUCAUGAUAUAGUUAAACACUGAAAAAUAUUUUUCAAUUUAUUUUUUAUGGCACUAUUAAUCUUAAAAUAUAAUUUAAUUUUCAGAAAUUCACUUUAUAUAAAAACAAAUUUCUAAAAAAAAAACUAUUUUUCAAAAAAAAAAAAAAAGUACUCGGUUAAGAUGCUAUGCGUGAGAUAAUUAGUUAGUGAGACUGAGGUUGUCUUUGCGUGGGAACUUGAGUUGGAAAAGUUGAUAAAGUUAGAAACAGCAAACUCCAUGAAUCAAUAACAAACUCUCUUUUCAGAUUCAAAUUCAAAUUCCUAACUUUAUAUUACUCUCCAAUGUAUAUUUUUUAAAAUUUAUAAUUUUUAUAUAUUCAUACUAUUUCGUGCUUAGAAAAUUCAAAUUAAUAUUUUUUUAAUAUUUUAUAAUCUUGAUAUACUAAUAUAAAAAAAUCUAAGAAAACUAUUCUACGCAUUUUGAAGGGAAAAGUAUUUUAAAAAAAAUAUAAUGCAUAAGAUAACAAAAACACAAUUAAUCUUCGAAAUAAUCUUAGAACCUGCAAUUCAUUUGAUUGGAGUAUGAGAUUGCAAAUAUAUUUUCAAGAGAUGUAAAAUCAUAUGUUCUGAAACAGUUGCUGAGUGCUGAGUGGGCUCCAAGAUCCUCAGUCACACGUUAAAGUCAAUUAAAUACGUGACGCGUUUCCUUGCCUAAUUUUCAAGAAGCCACUCCGCGUUCUCUUUUGACUUUCCGAUGCCAAACUGCAAUAUUUCCCUGCCCUUUUCCAAACUACUCUAGUGUGAAUGGAAUACAUUUCCCCGUUAUUUAUAUAUAUAAAAAAAUUGAUAUGAUUUUUUUAAAAAAAAAUUGUUAAUUUUUUUUUAAUAUUAAAUUAGCUUAGAUUUUAACUUUAUAGGUUAUUUACUUUUGUUUUAUUUUUUUUUAUAAUGUUAGCAUGGUUUGUGGCUUUGUCAGGAUAACUCAGGUUAGUCUGGUUUAUGCGUUUAGUGGAGUGUUAAUUCUUUUUUCUUUUCUAAUUAAACUUAUUUUCUUGUAGUUUAUUUUUUAUAUAUAGUUAAAAAAAUAGUUUAAGAGAAAAGUUAAAUUAUUAAAUUUUAUGAAAUAACAAAAGUUAAAGGGUGUGAGAAAACUACUAUUCACACACACACCCAUUGCAUUAUGAAUCACAAUGUUUUGCUUCUUCUUCUUCUUCUUUUCUUUUGUUUGUUCAAUUUUUGUUAUAUUUUUUUAAAAUUUUUUGUCAAUUUCAUCUUUUAAUAUUGGGAUAGUUGAAAAUUUGGCUUCAUAAUUUUUUUAUUAUUUUUUUUUCUACAGGGUUAACGUGGUUUUGCGGGUUUGCUAUGGUAACCUUGGUUAACGUGGUUUUGCGGGUUUGCUAUGGUAACCUUGGUUUGGAGGGGUGUUUUUUUUAAUUGAACUUGAUUUUUUUAUCUUCUUAUUUUUUUUCUCAUGUGGUUAAAAAAAAAACAGUUCAAGAGAAAAGCUAAGUUAUUAAAUUUUAUAAAGUCCAUGGAUCUGUUCACAUGUGUGGCUGGUUGAUCUGGUUUACAGAUCUGACGAGUUUAAUUUUUUUUUUUCGAUUUCAUCAUUGGAUAUUAAGUUAAUUGUGAAUUUAGUUUCAUAAUUGGUUUCAUUUUGUUUUGUAUGAGGUUAUUAUGGUCUCAAGAAAACAUCUUAAUACUGGGCUAGUGUUUAAUUUUGCAAUCGUCUAUUUUUUUAUCAUAUAUUUAAAUAUAAAAAUAGUUUUAAAAAAACAAAUUAUACUCUCAAUGGAGUCCAUUACCCGGUUCAUAAGUUUAGCUUGCUAGCUUAGGUUACUCGAUUCACGUGUUUGACGAGUUUACUCACCGACCAAAUAUGUUUUUUUUAUCCUUUGAUUGUUUUUAUUUUAUUCUUCAAUAUUGGAUUAGUUGAAAAAUGGACUGCAUGAUUUAUUUUUGUUUGUUUUCUACAUGGUUAUCAUUAUCUCAAAUAAGUGUCUAUUUUUAAGUUGAUACUCAAUUUUGUGAGCAUCUAUAUUUUAUUAUAUGAUUAAAUAAAAAAAAAUUAUAAAAAAAAGUUAUUAAACCCAAUAGAAUUUAUGACUCGGAUUGCAGAGGGACUAAAAUCCAUCAAAUUUUUCAUUGUCUCAAUAUUUAAAAAAAAUUGUCAUUUUGAAUUUUUUUAAAAGUUAAACCAUGAUUUUUAUGAUCAUCAAGGUUUCAUUUGGACCCGUGAAAUUUAUCUAUUUAAGUUGGGCUAACUAUCAUGCGGUUUAAUUAGAAAUUCAAGUUAGGUAAAGAGAUAGGUCGGAAGGUUUCAAAAAUGACAUGUUUGGUCAAAUUUAAUAACAUUAUUAAAAAAAACUCUUAAUAUAUUUUUACAUUUAAAAAAACUUGGCUCGAUCCACAAUUAAAAAAAAAAAAACAGGCCAAUAGAAUAGUUACUAUCUAUCAUCUCUACCUUGCUCCUUCCUUCUUCUUUUUAUCACCUUGUUUUAGUGGGAUUUAUUUAUAAUUACUAUUCAUUUGUUACCUUGCUUCCUUUCAUGACUCCUAAAUUCGUGUAUUAAAAUUAUUUUUUCUCUAAACACACCAUGCCAAUAUAAAAUUAUAUUUUUAAAAUCAUCUAAAAAAACAUAAUCUUAAUUAUCAGACAAUAUGUCUGAGAAUAAUAUUGAUUAUCAAAAUAAAUAAAUAAAAAACUCUUCUUUCCCUUCUUAUUUGCUCCUUUAUUAAGUACUGGCAGUAGCUUUUUGUACCAACAUGCCGUGCUUAUUAAGUUUCCAAACAACAACGCGCCACCAUGGAAUAGCAACCCGACCUUUUUUUCUUUUCUUUUCUUUUCUUUUUUUUAAAAAAUUAGAGUGGUAAAAGAACUGUGAAACAACCAUUUUUCUCCUAAUUAAAUAUUUUUCAUGUGGGGAUGCGUGGGAUCCUGUUGUGCUAUAGCUAACUCAUCAAUGAAUACAAUUUCCUUCACAUGUAAAAGCCCCUUGAUUGAAACGUUGUCGUUAUUUAUAUUGUCACGAAUCGAUCUUUCUUUCACACUGCAAAUAUUUAUUUGAUUAUUAAUUAAUUAAUAGAGAUGGGAAAUUGAAUUAAAUCCAACUGUUUCUGCAGUGUUGAAUAAUGGAUAUAGAUCCGUGUUGCUGGCCUUGCAUACUUGUGCGCACAAUAGCACAACACCCUCGCAAUUCUCGCUGUCGCUUACACGAAACCCAACUCAAGCCGAGUACGCACCUUCCUCGCCUACGCACCCCUGGCGCACUCUAUCCUUACUCCCCAUCUCAAAACUAAGCAGUUGAACUUGUCUAGUUGUAACAUGGUCAAUUUUUUUAUUUUAUUUUAAAUAAAGCCUAUUAGCUGUACUUGUGUGGCUUAACAUUUAAAAAAUCAUUAUUACCGUUGUUUCAUUACAUUAAGACUCAUUAUACAAGAAGAUAAAUAAAAAACUAUCUAUUUCACCAGCCUUCUGUCGCAGAUCAUAUAUAUAUAUAUAUAGACUUUUUUUUAUGUGUUUUUCGUAGUUUUAAAAAAUUUAAUUGCAAAUUAAAAAGUUUAUCCAUGUAUGUGUUUAGAUAAAUCAAUGACUAUAUAUAUGUUAAUAAAUGAAAAUAAAAGGUCAUAACAAUAACAAUAACUAAAAAUAAAAUUUAAAAAAUCAAAAAACAAAUAUAAAUCAAAAUAUUUAAUAUCACAAUACAAGAUGUUUAACUAGUUGUAUUUGCUAAAUCUUUUUAUUAAAAUAAUAUUUUUAUUCAAUUAAAAAAUAAUAAAAAAUAUCAUGCAAGAUUACAAGUAUUAGAAAUAUUGUUUAAAAAUAAACAUUUUUAUUUUUAAAAAUAAAAUUCAUCCACACAAAAAAUAAAAAAAUUAUAGAUGAAUAAAAAAAUUAUCUUUAGAAAUUAAACACAUGCAAAAUAAUUUUAAAACAAUUUGUAUCCAAAAAGGGUUAAAUAAACAAAAAAAAAAUCACAAAGAAGUGAUAUUAAUUGAAAAAUAAUUUUUUUAAAAAAUACAUAUUAAAAAAGUAUUAAUUAAGAAAAAGAAAUUAGCAUGGGUAGCCUGCCCCUAUGCACCUAAACUUGGUUUUAUUUUUAUAUUUUUGAUUUUUUAAAGGAGCGGAUGAUCUAUCAUCCACGCACAUGUUUUUUUAAAAAAAUACACGGACGACGUGUCGUCAGCAAGCCUAGAUUUUGGACACUAGCGUAAUGGCUGAAAAAACACGGUAGUGCAUCUUUUGCCCUAAAAAACUAAUUUUUAAGCUAUUUCAAAUUCAAAAAACCUCAACAACACUCUUGGAAUACCUACAAACAAACUCAUCAAUAAAAAAAACAAAAAGAAAUCUAAAAACUUGAAAUCAAACCGAGUUAAAUUUAUCUUAACUACUUAGAUAUGUUUUUUUUCACGUAAUAUUAAGACUUUAAAACACCACCACCAAUCUUACCCCAUAACAUUGAACAUGUGGAAACAAAAAAAAAAAAAAAUUAAUUUUGGUGGUCAUAAAUGGCUUAAACAAUGACUUUCUCUUUUAUCAUUAGGAUUCAACAAUCCUUUUUCUUUAACCAGUGAUUAAAAAAUAACACAAAUGAACCUUUUGUACCAAAAGUGAAUAUUUAAAAUUUAAAAAGAUCUAAAUUGUAUAAAUCAAGUUAUUUUUAAAGAUUAAGGAUACAAAUAUAUUUUUCACGAAAUCCCUGCGCGUCGUCCAUGUUUAGCGUAUUUUUUCAUUUCAGUUCCUUUUCUUUUAAUGUCACUGUUGCCUAAAAAAUAAAAAACAAUUAAUUUUCAAUUAGGAUCAAAUUGUCUAAAAUAAAAUUCUAAGAAUAAAAAUAAAUUAUUAAAAGAUAAACACCCAGUGUUUUAUGAGUGUGUGAACAUUGCCCAUCUAAAGUAAAAAAAAAAACCCACACCCUUACUGUUUUCUAUUAUCAUGGAAAAUAACAUAAACAAACAAUAAUUAAUUAAUUAAUUAAAAUAACCAGGUUCACGCUCUAUUUUUUUAAAAUAAAUUAAAAAAUACACGAUUCAUUUAAUGUUAUUUAAACCCUACUCGCCCCGGUCAACUUGGGUUUGAACGAAUUGCCUUUAAUGCAAGCCGAGUCUAAAAAUAAUAAUUUGAAACUAAUUUCACUUGAUCUACUUCCUCAAUAAGUUAAUUUAUGAUUCUUUUGAUUUUUUUUUUAAUUUUAAUAUAGCAUUGUUUUAACGAAGAUUUUUGUCUAUAAAACAAGUGAUCUAAGCCUUACAUCGAGUCCACUCAUCAUGCUAUUUUUCAACAAGAUCUAGACGGGUUAUAUAUAUAUAAACAUCCUUUUGUCAAAUUUUCAAGUUCAAAAUCGAUCCACCGAAACCACACGAGCAUUCGGCACAAAUCAACAUUAUAACCCAAAUGUUAUAAUAUCUAACCCUGCCUUGUGUUUAAUAUUAAUAUUUAUUCUCUGUGUCUAAUUAAAUCACAAGAGCAAAGAGAAAUCUCUCCCUACUACUCGCGUCUCCACCGAUCAACAGAACAAUCUCAUGCACUUCUCUAAUUGGUAUGGUAGCUCUCUUCUAUAUGUAUCGUUCUUAUUCUCUGGUUGAAUGCAGAUAUAGUGAGAUGGACGUGAAUCAAUUAAAGCAGGUGUACUGUGGGGUUGUUUCUCGCAGCUGGUAAAACAUAGCAUGCAGCGGCUGGAUGUGGACGUGGAGGAAGGAAGGAUUAGAAAGGAAUUGAGACAGUUUUGAUGGGAAAUCAGAAUCAUCAGCAUCGGGUGGUGAAAGUGAGGAGAGAAACAAUUGAAGCAUGCAUGACAUGUCCUCUCUGCAAUAAGUUACUUAGAGAUGCCACUACCAUAUCUGAAUGUCUACAUACGUGUCAGUCUCUCCUUCUCUAUCCAUUUGAUUGUUCUUUUGCCUUAAUCUGGGUCAUUACUGGGUUUAUCUGGAUUUGUUGUCUUGGUUUUGUCCUUGCUUUGACUUGGUAGUUCUGUAAUUGUGUUUAAAGAAUGUGGGCUUUUAGUACUUCCCUCUGCACCAGGAUCUUUGAUGAUAUCUAUCCCUUUCUAGUUAGAUUCCUUGCUUGAUGAAAUUAAAGUUGAAUGUUGAAUGUUGGGCAUAAUUUUGUUAAUUGGAAAGUCUUUAACUCUCUUUUCCAACCUAAUCUUAACUUUCUGUCGGGCUAGCUGCUGCUACUUGGUGGAGUAGUUUAUCUGUUACAAUGUAAUCCUCUCAAGUUCAAAAGUUAGAUUAAUCUAGUUUAUGAAUUUUCUAUUGUUUAUGCAAGAUUAAAUUUUGGUGAAGAUUAUUGUUUUUGAGUUUGUCAAGUCGGUAGAUGAAAAAUCUCUAAUAUAUUUUCGUUUUUAUUUCAUUUUUCAAAUUUCAUCCAGUUUGCAGGAAGUGUAUAUAUCAGAGGAUAUCAGAUGAAGGACUAGAUAGCUGCCCAAUAUGCAAUAUCAAUCUGGGUUGUAUUCCAUUGGAAAAAUUAAGGUAAGAUUUUUGCUGUUUCUAUUUGGGGGAGAUUGAGAGGAUGCUUAGCUGAUAUAUAUGGACAUACACACACUGCUAUAAAUGCAAUUGCUAUUUUAGCAAUCUGUUGAGGCAACAAUAGUAUUCUUAUGUUCAUUGAAAAUACAUGCACAUGCAUAAUGUAGUUACUUAUUGUGUUUGGGAUUGUGGUUGCGGUUGCUUUUCGUUCAGAAAUACAUCAAAAUAAUGUUUUUUUAUUUUUAAAAAAUUAAUUUUGACAUCGGCACAUCAAAAUGAUCUGAAAACACCAAAAAAAUAUAAACAAUUUUCAAUUUUUUCAAAAACGCUUUUGAAACGCAAAAACAAACAGGCCCUUGUAGAUUACAAUAAAAUUUUGGUAAAAAAUUAAGUUUUUUGUUGUUUGAGUCGUAACUAAUCGAUAUGUAUCACUGGCAAUUGAUAAACAGGCCAGAUCACAAUUUGCAAGAUGUGAGGUCCAAGAUUUUCCCAUACAAAAGAAGAAAGGUAGAGGCACCUGAAGUUGUAGAGUCAGUUACAUUACCAGUUAUAAGAAGAAAGGAGAGGUCACUCUCAUCAUUGGUAGUCAGCACCCCUAAAGUUUCCACACAGACUACCACAACAGGAAGAAGAACAAAACCUUUUCCAAGAAAGGCUGCUGCUUUACGAGGUUCAGGUUUUUCAAUUGAGAAACCCAUUAAAAAGGAACAUGAUCGUGCUGAAGAUAGUCCAGAGAGCUCAAGUUCACCUGAAACUCCGAAAAAGUUCAAUCAGAAUACACGGCAGGUAAUAUUAGCCAUUAUAGUAGUUUCUACUUUGGUGGAUGCCUAAUAUCAUUCUAAUUGACUGUUGAUAUAAACUCAUUUUCAUUUAUGAUAUCCUGAGAAACGGUCCAUUUUACUAAAAAGUCUCAGAACUGCUGUCUAACCAUCGCAGAAUUCUUCCUCUGCCGAACCUAGUCAACCUGCUCCUGAUGAUGAAGCAGAGAAUGGGGCCGAACCAAGGGAUGGGAAAUCAGAUCUCUGGCAACCUUUAAAUUUUUUGGUGGAAGUUGCAAACAGAACCAAGUCAUUCAAGUCUAUUCCACAAGUUAAUGAUGCUAAAUUAGAAUCACGACCUGUCCGUGAAAAUGAACCUCAAGUGCAUAAAACCAAAUUUAAGGAGAACAAAGACAAAUCAAAAGUUAAGGAUGAAAAGAAUAAUAUCGAUAAUGUUUCUGAAGGAACAGUGGAACCAAAAAGGUUGCGCAGGAUUCGUCGAAAAAAGGCAGCGUUUAAUGACGUUUCAGGCAUUUCAUCCCCAGCGGUGCUGCACACUGCUGCUGCAAAGCAAGAAAGAAGAAGUGGCCCUGUUUGGUUUUCACUAUUGGCUUCUGAAGAACAGUGAGAAACAACCCCAGCUUUUCAACUAGAGAAAACUUUCUGUACCAGGAGUCUAAUGUGUUUGCUUACUUAAAUGUUCUUUCAUUGUGUUCAUAUAGUUAUUUCACUUCUUUUUUUUUUCCAGGGAAGGAGAUGCACCUUUGCCACAAAUUCCUUCAAGUUAUUUAAGGCUAAAGUGAGUUUCUUUUGUCUUCACUGCAUUCUUGUAUGUACUCUUCAUCGCAUUUGCUGGAUACUUUAUUUUUCUUUUGCUAUGAAGAAUCCUACCUGCCUUUUUAUUGCAAUGAUAUUACUCCAAGUUUCGGUACUUGGUAUCUAGGAGCAUGAUGAAAUUUUUUUUCUUGAGUUAUGCUGGUUAUAUGCUAGAACAACAGUCACUGCCUGAGAGAGUGAGAUUAACCUUUAACCAUGUUUAGGUUGGAGGCUUAGAGAUGUAAAGAUGUAGGGAAAUCCUCAAACAAUGUGCGUUGAGGUGGUGCAGAUUGUGAAAACAGUGAAAACUCGAGUCAUGACUUUUUGUAGAUGCAUCUGACUCAUCUAAAGUCAUCCUUUCUUUGUUACACAACCUAUUCCAGCUAGAGGUCUGGAGGUUGCAGUAUGGAAAGUGCGGAGAGGAAAAACCUGCGGAUCUAUCCAAUUCAGAGAGUGUAUCUCAAGACACUUGCUACCAGUCCCGAAAGGGACAGGUUAUCUAAAUUGACCAACUAUGCCUAAUUUGAUAGAUUCUAUGCACAUCUGAGCAUAUGUGAAGACCAUUUCAGUCUGUAACUUACAGCUGAACCUGGACACUAUGUUGGUCUGCUCUCUGUCCUAACUGGUAGAAGGUGCUGCAAAGAACCUGAUAAACAACUAAUUCCUACCAGAACUCAGGGUCCAUUGUAGAUAUAUUAAUUGACAGGUUAAUAUGUUUCCUUUUAUCUUGUGAUGGAUUGUUUAACAAGUUUUUUUCCGCAUUCAAGCCAAGUAAUAAUCCUCCCAGAAACACCCUGGAAAUAUUUAAUUGUUAGAACACCGUUUGAAAUAAGAAAAAAACACUUUUUUUGGUGAAUGAAGUGAAGCAAUUAACUAAUUCCAGAAGACGUGUUACACUUAUUUUGCUCUAUGGCAGGGAUGGAAAUGUACCUGUUUCUUUCAUCCAGAAGUACUUGGUGAAGAAGCUAGACCUCACUAGUGAAGUUGAGGUGAGAUGUGUUGACAAGCUUUAUGUUCAGAUCAUUUUUAGCUAGGGUUAACAAGAAUAACCCGCAACAUUUUAGUGUUAAGUAUGUUUUUUUUAAUGCAUUCACAAAAGAGUCUUUGACCUUGGAAAACCAUGUUAUUAUGUUCCUGCGCACUAGUUUAGUCAUGUUACAACGAUUGAAGUAAGUGCAUAUCCUGCUCUUUUAUUUAUAUCUUCUUAUUACUUUUUGAGUCCUGCACCUGUCAUUAACACACAUUACUCAUGAACCGAUCUCAUUACUCAUGUCUUCUAAGUCUGAUUUCCUGUUGAAAUUUGAUUUUGCAUUUGUUCCUGCAAUAAUGUGAGCAGAUUUACUAUGAAUCGGAGAUUGUUUCUAUCUCAGGAAAUCAAAUGUUUUGGAUUUAUUCUGCCAUUAGUAAAGGGUGAACUAAGUAUUUGUUCAAAUCACGAGGAAGUAUUCUCAAUUAAGCAGUAGAACCUAUAGUGAUUUCAUUAUCAAUUUGCCUCAACUUGCAUUCGUUAAUGAUUUCAAUAUAGAAAUAAGCUUGUCCAGUUCUCAUUCUUGUUACUCCACUGUUUGGUAUUCUUGCAGGUUGAGAUCAGAUGCAUGGGAAGACCAGUGAUCCCUACAUUACUAUUGUGUAAUUUAGUUGAUCAGUGGCUACAGGCAGCACCAAAGCCAGAACAGGUUCCAGUGUCUGCUGGUUCCUCGGCAAAGGAUUUUGUGAUGGUGCUGGCCUAUGCUCGAAAGGUCCCAAACCCAUAACAAUGCUCCUCUUCAAUAAUGUCCAUAUGAUUCUCUGAACCCCAUGGCAACAAAGUGAGGUUUCUCCUAGGCUUGUAUUCCACGAGCAUGUCUCUCAUGACUAGUUCCUCCACGAUAUUUGCAUUGCCUUUGCUGUAACCACAACAGGCUGCUACAGGGAACAGGGGAUGAAAAGAAAUUCUUUGAUUCAUGGUUAUAUAAAUGCAGGGUAAUCCGCACAAUAGUGUGGCGUGACUUGCUGUUAGCCGACUGUGAUGAGGUGCAAGUUCACGGGUGUUCUUUCAGUUAUUGUAUGAUUAUAUACCUCCUAGUGCAAAACUUUCUACUGGGACCAUCCCCUUUUUCUUGUAUGCAUAUUGCACGAUUUACAUGCUAGAAGAUGUACUAUUUGCUCAAUAAGACUUUCGUUCCUAUCAUUUUCUGUGGUUGGUUAUAUGCAAAGUUGGAUCUGCCUCGUUGACUGCCCUCCACAAUAGAAGGUUUUAUAUUUGGUGCCUUUUUUCUCUGUUGAGUUGAGAUCUUAGUUUUGCCCUAACUAGACAUGUUUUUUAUUUUAUUUUUGAUCAUCUUGACAUGAGUUUUUGCACUACCCAGCUGAGUAUUGGUGGCUGCUGCUCUCUCGAACGCAAAGCGCCCGAUUUUAGACUGUUCCGGGCCUCAUUCUAUUUAAUCAUCGAGUAGAUGGGCCGCCCUGUCCUCGUGCCCACUCGGUCAGUUCGCUAUUUAGCGUCCUCUAUACGGAAAGAUAAAAGAUAAAAGAAAGUGAAUCUCUUUGGGUCAGCUUUGGUAUCAUGAGACUUGACUGAGUCCAUCAAUAAAUUAUUUUCUUGCAAACUGCUUGGAAAGACAUCACUAAUAAAUUAUUAUUAUUAGCUUUAGGGAAAUCACUGUUCCCCUGACAUGUUUUUUUUUUCUUUUCAUUUUUACAUUUCAACAUUAAAAAGUUUUUAUAGGAAUUACACUUUUAAAGAUUGAACGUUAUUAUUUAUUUUAGUUUUUUUAUAUAAUAUUAUCAUGGUCUUGGAGAAACAUACUAAUAUUUAAUUGAUGUUUAGUUUUAUGAUUUUUUUUUUAUUGUUAAAUAAAAAAUAAUUUUUUAAAAAACAUAAUUAUUAUAAAAUAAAUUUUAUAAUUUAUUUUAAUUUACUUGGUAUAAAGUUAUCGUGAUUUUAGAAAAACAUAUUAGUAUUGAGUUGAUGCUCUGUUUCUUAAGAAUUUUUUUUUAUAUGAUUAAAUAAAAUAUAAUUCCAAAAACAAAUAUAAUUAUUGAAAAUUAAGUUUCAUAAUUUAUUUUGAUUAUUUUAUAAAAUUAUCGUGGUCCGAUGAGUCGCCACCUCGGUAUUUUUUUUAAGAAAUCAUGUUGAAAAUAUUUUAUUAUAUAAUUAAGUAAAAAUAAUUUUUAAAAAAUAAAGUUAUUAAACUCAAUGGAGAUCAUGACCUAAGUCACAGGUUAACCUAGGUUAACCCGAGUUGAUCUGAUGUGUCGCCACCUUGGUAUUUUUUUUAAGAAAUCAUGUUGAAAAUAUUUUUUUAAACCCCCAUCAUAUUUUUAUUAAUCAUCCGAGUUUUUUUAAUCUGUUAAGUUGAUAGAAUUAUGUUAAUAUAACUUGUAUAUAAUUUAAUUUAAAGCUCGAGCUAAAUAAGAAAUAUAAUAAGGAGAUUUUAGAUUCAACCCGAUGUUGUGUUUUAAUUUUUUUUUAUCUUAACUUCAACAACUGACCGAAUUUUAUUAAGAUUUCUUUUUAUACAAAUUGUUUAAUGAAUAGCAUAUGUCCAAAAUAUAAUCCAAAUAUGCCACCGAAUAUAAUCCUUACAAUAAGGAUGUCUGCUGCAGUGUACAAUGCAAUCAAAGCUUCGGACAUAAGGAUGUCUAUUGUACAAUACAGCCACACAAGUUCUUACAAGCAGACUGCCAAAAACAUUUGCUUGCACAACAUAUCAUGACGUGAAUUUAAACGAAAAUAUAAUAUGCAUGAACUCGUCCUAAACCUUCAAAUUUCAUCUUUGCAAGAGUGAACAAGCUGUAGUAGCCAUAGGCUUCCAGCCAGCUAUCCAAACUCUAAACAAAACCAGCAGUCCACUCAGUAUGAUGGGAUAGAAGGAAACUAAGCAGACAAAUGCUGUGAAGAUUAUGGAUUCUGAUAACCUCUACGGUGGCUUGCAAGUCGCAUAACUUGGCCAGCAUAUUACAUGGAAAUAGAGAACGUGAUGAUUGAAGGAUUACAAGAUAGUCUGAGGUUGCAUGACUCGAGCUACAGAGGUACCUUCACCAUGGAUUUUACUCCAUGUUCGAAAUCCCGAGGUAUCUUCAAUUGUAUUGUACUCGAAAUGAAUCAAUUUUAUAGGCAAGGAUUUAGUGAACAGCCAAAUAAUCUACCUUUAUUACUUGCUAAAAAGACAGACAAGACACAAGACCUUGUCAAUAUCAAAUGAACAAUAAAAAAAAAUCACUAAGCAAUAACGUUCUUGAAUUAAUGCUACAAAGGCAAUAACAACAUGCACAGAAAAUACAUAGAGACUCCGUGAAAAGAUCACAAGCAUAAGCAGAUAUUAUGGUUAACGUACUUCAAGCGAUAACACCAUUGAACCAUCAUUACUUGCAAAGGAAAAUGACCUAACACACUCCCGGGACCCCAUAUAAAUUGAAGCUUUUAUGGAAACACUCCUCCAAUCUGGCAUAAAACAAGAUAGGAACCAAAAACUCUUCAAAAAACUACGGGGAAAGGGAGACCCGUACCAAAACUAGCUUUUAAAGUCACCAAAACGAAGGAUUGUGACAACAGGCAAGGCACUGAUUUUGCAUGGCCAGUGACAGCAACAUUGCUAACUUUCCCUUGUCAAUUUUUCAAUUGAAAAACUUUUCCUCACAUGGGGAAAAUGCAUUAGAUCCACCUUUAUAGGAAAAUUCCGCCUUAAUACUGAUGAUAAAAUUCGAGAGACUGUACACCAUAUAGCUUAUAAAGAAAGAUUCAUGCUUCUUAACACAUGGGCAAACAACCAUCUGGACCGUCUCUUUUCAUGAAAAAAGGAGGACAAUAGGAGACCGUUACGCACUUAUGCCACUUCUAAGGCCAAGAAAAGGGAAAUUCAGAGACAAUCCCACCUUCCAACAAUUCUUUUUUUAAAAAAAGAUUCUUCCCAAUCCUUCCACCAGCAUUUAUAAGUUCCAGAUCCAGGUCUUCCGCCAUGGCACCAAACUUGUAACCAUGUUAUAUCCGGAUGCUUGUGUAUCAUAGCCAAGUUUACACCAUAAGAAACAACACAAGCAAUAAAACCGAUGCGCUAGUACCUCACUGGGGCUCUUGUACUACACGAGCUAGGGUUCUCGUUCAAGUCCCAGAUUGAUAAACACGCACACCCCCUUGAUCUAAAAAAAACACAAUCGUUCAUUUACUUAUCUAUGAAUAAUACAUACCGAACUGUCUUCAGUUUAACCUAUCAAAAUCGGUGCAAAUUUAAGUGUACAUAGAUAUAUAAUCAACUUAUAUCAUCAAUAGCAGUUGGAAAACAAACACAAUAAAACGAAGAAAUGAACACAUUUUGCAUUGAAAUUCAAAGAAAUCAUUGAUAAGAAGUACUACUGCUCCUUUCAAAUAAGGCACAGAACACCAUGUAGUAAACCAUCUAUUUUUUAACAAAAAUCUAUACUGAUUCACCACAACCACAUUUACAACACACUCAUCUCAUCAAAAAAUAAUACUUGCUAGCAAAAACUAUGAAAAAAUCGAUUCAACUCAAGAUUGGUCAACUAACCAGAGAGAAAAUCAGCUGCUCCUGCCGAAACCAAAUUCCACCUGACUUGUGCGUGUGAAAUUAAAUUCCGAAAGAAAUCUUACUUUUAAACGCGAGUAUAGCCAUCUCUCAUAGGACUCCCCACAACAGAAAACAAGCCUUCAUCAGCCAAAUCAUGCUCAUCCAAAUACAAAUUCUCAGUUCCCCUAAACGCAGCGUGUAAUACAACAACAGCAGCCCCAAUCAAAACCGAUACCAAGACAUUUAACCAGACGUGAGUGAAAAUCAAAGCAAUAAUAGUCACGAUGGAAAGCAAACCAAGCACCACACGAUCAUCAAUCGGACGAUGGAAAAUCACCAGUGGCUGGUCACGAAAGAAGUAGAGGAAAAACCAAGCGACAAAGACGACUAAGAAGACAAUCAUCGAGAGAGGGUGCCAUAAGAGGCUUAAAAAGAGUAUAACGAGGAUUAUCAUAGUGUAAUUAACGCGAAAGUAGUAGAGGUUGCGUUUUACGCGGAUUGUGGCUUCGCCGAAGGAGAGCGGGCGCGUGAAGGAGGAGAAUUCAAUCAAUUCGCGCCAUGGACGGCGCGUGGCGAAGAAGUUGGUUGUAGUAUUGGCGGAGCGGGUGAGGAAGGUCGAUGGAGCUGCGGCGGAUGGGAGGGAAUCGUACGGAUCUGGAGCUGGAGCUGGAGCUGGAUAUGAAGAAAUCAUUGAGGAAAUGAACGAGAGAGAGAGGGAGAGAUUGGAGAUCGAUUCGCUGUUACAGAGAGUGGCAAUCUUGUGGAUCUCUACAACUGACCGGUAUUAUUUCUUUAGAGGGCAUUUGGUUUUUCAAUGGUUAGAUAUUUGUUGAGACAGAGCUCAGGGGCUAGUGAAGACGACGCCGUGUUAAGCAAUAAUGUGCGAGCGAGACAAAGCUCAACAAGGAAAGUAGCCAAUUAGAAAGGUCAGCAAGGAAUGGGGAGUAAAUUGGGGACCCAAUAAUGAAGACAAACGUUGUAAAUCUUUAUAGAGAGAAUUGCCGUGUUUACUGGACUCCAUUCCUUUGACCUCGCUUGCUGUUUUUCAUUUUUGUUCUUUUUUCUUAAAAAAACAAUUAAAUAAGUUUUAAGAGAUAGAAAAUUAAAAAAUAACGGCUAAAAAACUAAUUAUUAAUAAAAAAGCAACAAUACAAAAGUGGCCCAAAUUUUACAAUUACGGUGUAAAAUAUAUAUCAUUCCUUUUUGUGUUUUAAAUUUAUCUUUAAUGUUGUAAUAUUAAAAAUAAAUUUUAAAAUAUAAAAAAUAUUUUAAUAUAUUAUCAAAUAUCAAGCUCAUGAUCAUAGUUUUGAAACUCGAUCCGAUCUGGUGGGUUAACCCGGGAUCCGGGACUGGAACUGGGCCGAGUUGAGAAAAAAAUAGGAAAAAAAAAAACAAGGUGUGACCCGGCAAGACCUGGUUGCAACCCAUUAAAUUUUUUUUUACUAAAAUAACAUUUUUUUGAUUUAAAAAAAAUUAACCCGAACAACCCAAUAAAAACUUGAAACCCGAGUUGAGAAAACUAUGCUCAUGGUAUUUCACCACCAUUUAAGAGAAAACUUGAAUGACACGAGAUAGAAACUUUUAGCAGCGUGGGAGAGAGUAAAAAAAAGGAGUGUGUUUAAUAUAAAUUGAUAAUUUAAAAAUUGUAACGUCCCAAGAUCUAAAAAUCCGGCUUCCAAUUUUCUAGACAAAUAACCAGGCAAUUUACUAGGCAAAUAACCUGUAAACACUAAAAUUAUAUUAAGAAAAUGGCAAUUAUUAAUAAACUUAUAAAAAACAUUUAAGUAAACUUCUGAUUUGCAGUCCAUAAAAGAAAAGAUUCCGCAGGAAUCACAGAUUGUUUGAGCGUCAGCAUGACCACUAAGAAAGGACGCAUACAAAUUUCACAUAUUUGGAGGCAUGUCAAGAGCUUGUAGAAUCUCUCUAUGAUCCCUGCAGUAAAGAGCAAUAGGAGAUAUUCAACAGCAGCAGGCAAUCAUAAAAGGUGGAGCUGCAAUCAAAGAUAUCAGAAAAAUGGAUUGCCCUUCAUAUAUUAACUCCUUUUUUUCCCCAAUACAAGCAAAUUUUGUUGACCUGGGAGUUUUCCUGUAAUGUGCCGUGUUUGUUUGUUGUUGUGUAUUCUGUUUGUUUACAAUAUUGAAAGAGUUGUGGGAAACCUCUUGGGUUUGUGGGACAAACUAAAUUGAUGAGAAAUGGCUGAGUCUAGAAGGACUAGACUGGCGUUUAGGGGCUGAAAAUUUUGAAGAGGAAAUCAACCAUGUGACUGUGACAAUCAGUAUACCUGAAAAGAUCAUUUAGCUGCCUGUUUUUUCGAUCGAGCCGCAUACCAGUAAGAAAAGAUUCUGCUGCACGCUUGAAAUCCUGAGAAGAUGAAUGGUCAGAGACGAAUCAUUUUUUACGGUGAUAAAGAAAGACGGAUGAAGGUGACGAUCUACUUACUUUUGAUAAAUUCCAGGCAACUCCUUCAGCAUAGUGUGCUUUUGGCAAGGAAGGCAGCACCAUCCGGCUACCUAUAGCAUCUCUCAAGGCAAGAUCACCUUCAUUCAAGUGAGCUCAGCACAAACUUCGAUUGGUUAAAAUAAAUGCUUCUACCAAAAACGUUUGACUAGAUAAGAGAGCUGCUUCUGUGUCAACAGCCUGCGAUUUCAACCAAAACGUUAAACAAUUCAGAUAUAUAUAUAUAUAAAAAAAAAAAACAAUAAUAAUAGUAAAAGAACAGGAAGAAAGUUGUGUGGAGAAAUAUAGAUUGAAUCAGCAAAGCUCAACUCCGUAUACCAACGGAUGGCGUUAACAUAAUCCUUUCUCAUGAAUGCAUCUUCUCCCUUGGAUGUUGACAGAAAAAAAUGCUCCAAUUUUCUGAGUUUCCUCUGUGAGAAGAUUCAAUACAGCUUAGAAUUUUGAAUGCAACUAGAAAUUAAGCACAAGAAUAUUAGCUCUUUAUGCAUAAGGUAGAUUAUCGAGUCUAACCUUUCUUUCGAACUUUUCUGAGUUAACGUACUUCAUAAUUCCAUCAAAGCUCCAGUCAGUAACUUUAGGAAUAGGAAAUGUAACUGGCAAGAGAAUUCUGACAUCCUCAAUAUGACCACCUAAAGCAGCAACUUCAACUGGUGUUAAACCAAGCUGUUUGACAGUCAAUUGUAAGCAUUCAAUUCAAGUAAACAUAUGAUAAAAUUACUGAAACUCAAUAAGAGGAAAAGAGCUCUCACACUAUUAGUCACAUUUGGAUCAGCUCGGCAUUCAGCAAGCAUCUUAUAACUUGCGUCUCCCCGUUAGAAGCUGCCACUUCUAACGGUGUCAUCCCAAGAGAGCACGUGUUUGGAUCAGCUCCAGCCUAAAUACAAAACAAUGUAAAAUGAUGAGGCAAAAUUUAAAAACCUCAAAGCAAUGGGAUAUGAAAAUCAAAUCAGAAUCAUACCUGAAGCAAUAGCUUUACACAGUCAAAUGACGAAGCCAAAAUGGAUGCCACCAAGGGGGAAUGAAUGAAAUCAAAAAUCAUGUUUGGCUGCAAUAUGUAAAAGAAAUUAUUCACUUGUAAACCAAAAGGAAAAAUGAAGGGAAAAAGGACAGAAAUAACCCCCUGAUAGAUAAAAAGCAACAAGGGAACGGGACAGCAUCAGAAAAUGUUUCAGCAAGAUAGACAAGAACAGAAAAUUGCAAGCUAACGUUUCCAGUUCAUUAAAAACAAUUAACCCAUCUAUUGUCUAGAAAGAUUUAGGAACUAGUAACGCUUACAUCGGCAUGAUUAUCCAACAAGAUUUUAACAGCUUUUUUCUGACCAUGAAUUGCAGCCCACUUCAAUGGCGUGCCAGAAUCAGCUUUUGCAUCCACUUCAGCACCUUUCAAAAUCAGCAGUAAUAGAAAUUUCUUCAACCCUGAAACAAAAAGAGUACAUGACACCAACUAAAAGUAAUAUAUGGAUCAAGCACAAUUACCACGACUUAAGUAGUGUCUAUCAUCAUUGAAAGACUUUCAAGGAUGAUAAAUACAUGGCAGCUAUAUCAAAUGGUGACUACAAUGAUAUUUCAAAACCACACAGAACAGAAAGGUUAUCAUGUAAAAAUAAAACAUAAAGGCACAAAGAACUAGUCCACAACUAUAAACUUCAAAGUGAAACUUGUACACAACCUGACUUUGCAGCGUAAUGGAGAGGAGUGAGUCCGCUGUCGGUUGCUGCAUUCGGGUUUGCCCCAUUCUCAAGAAGAUGAACUGCGGUUGGAUAACGAUCUGCUGUAAUAGAAUUGUGCAAAGGAGUUUCACCUGGAAAGAGGCAAGAGAACAUUUCCAUUACAGACUUCUUGGAAACACAGAACCUGCACAAUCAUAUUCUCUAGAAAGCAGAGAAACAAACUUUUUGCCAGUAUCGUAAAUGAAGAUAAAAACUCAAAUACAAUCUCUUUCGAAAUUGAAAUUUAUAACAAUCCAAUUUGUGCCCUAUACCUUUCCCAUCUCUCGCAUUAACAUCUAGUUUAGCUUCUGCCGUAAGGUACCGGCAAACAUGAGCCCUUCCUCCUACUGCAGCAAAAUGCAGUGCAGUUCGACCAUUCAAAUCCUUGAUGUUUGCUACUGUUUCCUCUAAACCAUCUCCCAUAUCAAGUUCAUUUGCCUGUCCUGCUCCAACAUUUCAUAAAGAUAGAAAUAUGUUUCCAAAACUAGGAUAAAACCCCCAUGUACCUCGAUGUUAUUAUCUAUAUCCCCAAACACAAAACAGAGAAAAAGAGAAUUAUAAAAUCAAUAUGUACUUACUUUUCAGUAGGUUGAGGUCUCCAUUAAAUGCAGCGCCAAGAAACUGGUAAUUACUGGCAAAAUCUGCAGGCCAAAGACGAAGUACAAAAUUAAGAUAAACCCCAUAAAAACAGAUGAACGCAGAAAGAAACCUCAAAUCAUUUAAAAGAUGAACCUCGACGGAACGCCAUUUGAGAACAAAGUACUUGUUUUGGAGUAGUGAGUGGGAGCAAAACAGAUAGAAGGGGAGGCUUUUUAUAAAGAAAAAUUCAGGAGAACACGCCAAGGAAAUGAAAAGACUCGGACAAUGCAUAUAGAUGUCCUUGAUUUGAAAUGAAAUUUAUGACAAACUGUUCAGUCCACCGGUUAAUUAUUACCCCUGUGGCUUUUGGUUUCUUGGCUCCUCUUAAAAUAUGAGAUCGAGUACAGAGACAAUUCACGAGGAUCUGUUUGGUCCCCGAGAAUAAUUUUAGCAUGGAUUGUGACCGAGCAAAGUCGGAGAUUGGAUUUUGCAUAAAAUAUUCACCUCUAUAAUGCUUUAUGAGUUUGGACCUGUUUUUGGGCUACUCUUACAGAGGUUUUAGCAAAAGCAUGUCUCCUUGGAUUUAUAUCAAAAGCAGUCAAAAGAUCGAUCCAAAUGAGUUUUUUUUUUUUCUCAAAUUGCAAAUCCAAAAAACGAUGGCAAACAAGCAUGUCUUCAGGGUUUCUGGUAAAAUUUCAACCACUUUAUAGUGAAUUUUUAUCCACAAGUAGCCCCUUCAACCGAUUCAUAAUGAACAAAAUUUGAUUCCGUAUCACCAUUCCAGCUGUCCCAAACCAUCAAAUAUGAAAUCAAAUGUAUCGAUCUUGUGUCCAAGCAAUAUCAAAUCAUGUUCACAAUUCAAAAUACAUAUUAAACAAUCUGCUGCCAUCUUUGAUAAAAAGGGAGCAGGCAAACCAAGGGUUUUACAGGAUAUCCUGAUGGCAAGAAGGAAAAAUGUGUGUAGAUUACAAUAUAUACAGUUUGAUAAUCUGUGGCUAACUUUCCUGCUCCAGUACAAGAAAAUUCAUAUCGAGACAUUGUAUCGGUACAUCAAUAUCAAUUCUUACAAGUCAUGAAAGAACUUGUAGGUCUUGAUAUCUUCCACAAUAAACCUGACAGCACCAAUGCAACCCAAUACUGCAACAACUGAGAACCAGGUAGCUAUAGCUAAAUUAAGGAGCUGCACUGAUAUGCGAAGCUCCAUGUUUUUCGGCAUUCUUCCAGAUUUCAAAUAUGCUAUGGCAGGGAAAACAAAAUCCAACGGAGUAAACCCAAUGGCACCACAUAUGGAUACAAAGUCACCAAAAAAGGGCAUCGCUGCAGCAAUGAGGGUGAUAAGAACAAUGUAAAUGGAGGUGCACACCAGCCGAAUUAGGCAGUUUUUGAGAGGGAAGUAGCUGGCAGUCUUGCUCCGCAGCAUGUUGUUCUCGAAGUAGGCAUACGUUGGCCUGCAAUAUAUCUGAAUAAAGAAAUUGUGAGCGGAACAGUUACAAAGUAUAAGAAGAACGGUCAGAAAAUCAGCGUCCUUUAAAUUUUCUGCAACCAGGAAUCACCCAAGAUCUUAAACUGGUUAAAAAAGAAUUUAAGCCAGCCACCAGCCACCAGAAGUGAGAACAUGUUUUGAAUAGAAUAUGUAUGGGAACAGGGAAAGUUAGAAAGAACAGCAAUCAAGAUGGGGGGAAAAUGAAUCUUUUAAAAAAAGACAGAAAGACUAAAGAACGGGUUUCUAAAUUCACGAUAACACACACAAAUACACAACGCUAAAAAAGUACUAUAACUCAAGUGUUUUCGCAGUGUUUUUGAGAUGCAGAUAGUGACUUUGCCUAGGUUCACAGAACAUGUCUCUUGACAAGAAAAAAGUCUCAUGGACAUCCAUCAAAAAAUGCUAAUGGCAUAUCACAAAACCAUUAAAAGUUUAGUGGUAAUGUAAUGGGUUUUGCCAGUACUAAAAUGUCCUAUAGUUUGGUAGAAGGGGGGAGCUUAUUCUAUUUAUCAUGCGACAUGAGUAUUUUUCCAGGACACUAAAAUGUCCUUUAGUGGUAAAGUAUGCUGGAUGAUUGAAAUUCUAUGCUAAAUUCAACCCUCCAGGUCACAGCAAAGUUAUGAAGAUAACCUGAUAGCAUCCUGAUAUCUGAAUAACUGCGAAGAGAUUUGCCAUGACAAUUGUCCAUUCUGGAACAGUCAGAGAAGCCAAAAUGUAAGGCUGAACUUCUGACCCAAAUGCCCAGUAUCCACAGAAUGCCAAUUGCCAGUAAGUCAAGAUAAUAACGGUGUAUGCUGCUGAUACACCUUUAUACAAGUUCUUUUUUGCAGGCUCUUUUACAGUGUUCUGGCAAGAAAACGAUCAUUCAAUGAAGGUUGAAAAUGUAGAGAACCAAAGAAAAUGACCGAAGGAGUAGUCGAAAAAUUUGGUAAGUCUGAUACCUGUAUUUCUGGAAGCAUCGCAUCUCCAAAUGAAAAGGCAAUUGCCCCCAAAGCAUUGAAGGCUUUAAAUCUCUUAAGAGAGGAGCUCCCUUGCACACUGUAACUGACUGAUUUUCUAUCCAUAUUCUUACCUAAAAUGAUGCAGAAAACAUGAAACUGCUCGAGUCACUAACAGGACCAUUUUUACGAGGGAAAUGAAGACAAAUCAGAUACAAAAAGAUGGACAUGCAAAUUUGCCAAGCCUACCAUUAUACAAUGUCACGCCAAUUGUUGUGCCAGCAAAGCCGAUCGUGCUGAACGUGCACAACGCAUUGACCCAUCUCAACGAGUGGAUAUCAGGGAGUUGAGAGAGAAAAAGUUCAAAGGCUCCAAAGAAGAUAAUAAAAUGCUGCAAGGUCAGCGUACCCUCUUUGUGAUAGUGCUUGUAAACAGCCUGCCGAGAAAAGGAAUCCAGCAUUUCCCCAUCCCACAACAAAACGAGACGAAUUGAGAAGAAAAUUAAGGGAAAUGAUGCACAGUAAAGAUCACUCGGUAUUAUAUAUUGACCAACCUUGAGGCUGCUUCCGGCAGCAAUUUGAAUUGCAAUGUUAUUGCCCAAAGAAGCCACCUGCUGAAAAAAUGCAAUGGACCAGUAACCCCAGAAUCCUUCAAGAAUCAGAAAAACAAACAGUGAAGCAAAUAAAAAACUAAAGAAUCCCAUUUACAAAACAAACCAAGCGAUAUUACUACAAAGCACUCGUGUGUUAAGUUAUAGAAUUCAAGUAUUAUUAUUACUAGCAGGGAUUAAUGAAGAGGAAAUUAGUGAGACUAACCGAAGAUGCUUUCUGCGAGAUGCCUAUAUGUGAUCUGCUUCUUCCCAUUCCAUCUCCACAAAGACGCAAUCAAUAGACUCGAGUACCAGGUGGCCAGUGUUGCACCUACCAAACUACUCACCCCUGAACCCAAAAGACAUAUCUUUUUUCAAGUCAGAAAGCAGUCCCUCUAAUUCAAUCUUCAAAAUAUUAAUUAAAGAAAGGAUUGAGACUAGAAAUUACCAAGGGGCCAGCCAAGAGAAGCGAGAGCAAACGGUAAAGGAGCAUAAGCAGCAGGGGUAGCAAUUGUUGUGGCAACAUGGAACGCUGCGUGUUUCCAAGUGCCUUUGCCUUCAUCAACUUCUCUUGAAUCUUGUCUUUCUACUGCAGCUACAGCUACAUCUUCUCUUCUUUCGUCUUCAUCAGCUUUCCCUGUCGAGUUAAGUGACAUUUUUUAAACCUUUUCUUGCAGCUUUGUGGAGUUCCGGUGGAGCAAGUAACAGCACAAGAAGUGAGGAGUCCAUUUGAUAAUGAAAUGGACGGCCUUUUUUUUGACUUUCUUGUAUAAAGAAAGAUCAAAGCCAUUGAAAAUUGAACGCUGAAAUUUCUGAACAAUUUGAAAAGGCAAGAUACCAAUUAUUUUUUUGUUUUAAAAAUGUUUUUUAAAAAAAUUAUUUAUUUUUAUUUUUUUAUUUUAAGUUACUUUUUUAAUAUUUUUAUAUGUUAAUAUAAAAAAAAAUAAUUUUUUUUAAAAAAGAUAUUUUAAUUAAAAAAAAAACCCCAAAUUCUAUAUUAUUAGUUAUUACCGCUGCAAUCUGCAAAAUUACCAUUUUAUGUCAGCAAAAAAAUUCCAAUAUAACAAAAUGACUAAACUGCCCAUAUAUACACAACUGGAAAGGGGGGCUAUAAUCUAGCGCAGGGGCUUCCCAUGAACUAAAGUCAACUUCUCUAACCCCAGAAGUAGCGUAAUCUGAUGAAGCAGUAGACAAAAACUCCGAGCCCUUUGGAAUCGAAGCCAGUUCAAUACUCCCCUAACACUCAACUUCAUGACUAUCCUCGCGAAACCCGAACAAACCACAACCAGAACCCCUUCCCGAGGCUAAAAUCUCAGAUUCACCGGAAACAGCUGAGACUCCCGGAUUAGCUGGUCUUGAUCCCCAACAAACCACACCGCCUUCCUUAAUAACGCCGCAAACUAAACCCAUCACCAGAAACAAUCCUUCUAAAAACAAGACUAUCAAUAUUAGACUUCUGAAACGAAUCAAAUGAUGUUUUUAUUAUACUUCCAAUGACCCACGUUUCCAUAUUCUACACUAGAAAAGUAAGAUCCUUUAAUGGCAGAAGCAUGCUAUUUGCCUGAAGCAAUUUGUGAAUAAGAGUUGUAUUGGGCACUUUCUGGGAAAACUUUUUUACCCGGAUUUGAUAAGUUAAAGCAAAAUGCUUGAGAGUUGUUGCAUGUGAUUCCACAAAUAAACUCUUCACCACAUGAGAGAGAGGCAUUGCU